GAGUCCUCAACUGACGCUAAUGCUCGAAAGUGCGGGUAUCGAACAGGAUUAGAUACCCUGGUAGUCCGCACGGUAAACGAUGGAUGCCCGCUGUUGGCGAUAUAUUGUCAGCGGCCAAGCGAAAGCGUUAAGCAUCCCACCUGGGGAGUACGCCGGCAACGGUGAAACUCAAAGGAAUUGACGGGGGCCCGCACAAGCGGAGGAACAUGUGGUUUAAUUCGAUGAUACGCGAGGAACCUUACCCGGGCUUGAACUGCAGCAGAACGAUAGAGAGAUCUUGAGGCCCUUCGGGGCUGCUGUGGAGGUGCUGCAUGGUUGUCGUCAGCUCGUGCCGUGAGGUGUCGGCUUAAGUGCCAUAACGAGCGCAACCCCUUCCGUCAGUUGCCAUCACUUUGGGUGGGCACUCUGGCGGUACUGCCACCGUAAGGUGUGAGGAAGGUGGGGAUGACGUCAAAUCAGCACGGCCUUUACGUCCGGGGCUACACACGUGUUACAACGGGUGGUACAGAGAGUCAACCGCCGGCAACGUCGGUUUAAUCAAUAAAGCCAUCCUCAGUUCGGAUUGGGAUCUGCAACCCGACCCCAUGAAGCUGGAUUCGC
rnacentral:rRNA from 1 species